rnacentral:rRNA from 1 species
UACGGAGGGUGCAAGCGUUAAUCGGAAUUACUGGGCGUAAAGCGCGCGUAGGCGGUUUUUUAAGUCGGAUGUGAAAGCCCCGGGCUCAACCUGGGAACUGCAUCCGAUACCGGAAGACUAGAAUGCGGGAGAGGGAGGUAGAAUUCCAUGUGUAGCAGUGAAAUGCGUAGAUAUAUGGAGGAAUACCAGUGGCGAAGGCGGCCUCCUGGCUCGACAUUGACGCUGAGGUGCGAAAGCGUGGGGAGCAAACGGG